GCUUACGGCCAUACCACCCUGAGAACGCCCGAUCUCGGAAGCUAAGCAGGGUCGGGCCUGGUUAGUACUUGGAUGGGAGACCGCCUGGGAAUACCAGGUGCUGUUAGCU
rnacentral:rRNA from 1 species